AUACGGAGGGUGCGAGCGUUGUUCGGAAUUAUUGGGCGUAAAGAGCAUGUAGGCGGUCUGUUAAGUCUGGUGUGAAAGCCCGGGGCUCAACCCCGGAAGUGCAUUGGAUACUGGCAGACUUGAGUAUGGGAGAGGAAAGCGGAAUUCCGAGUGUAGGAGUGAAAUCCGUAGAUAUUCGGAGGAACACCAGUGGCGAAGGCGGCUUUCUGGACCAAUACUGACGCUGAGAUGCGAAAGCGUGGGGAUCGAACAGGAUUAGAUACCCCGGUAGUCC
rnacentral:rRNA from 1 species